UGUCAGCAGUGAGUACAUGGCCUUGGUUGGAAAGAGAAGACUUGAAGCACAUUCAUGUCUUUAGAUUUAGAUUUCAGACUGGCAAUCAGACUAAUUCUAAGCAUACUGCCACAUUGUAUGGAACAUUCCUCUGGUCCACAUGGUCCAUCUGUCCUUGCUGUGUCCCCUCCCAGUUUCUGGUGCGCUGCUGCUGGGGCAGCAUGAGGAGCUGAAAAGACCUUGGGUCUGUAUGAGCACUGCUCUACAGCAACUAAAACAUUGAGAACUGGAGGCCACAUGAGACAUCCUGGGGCCUCUUCCUGACUGUGCCUCAGAUGCCUUCAGCUGGGGCCAUGCGAAGUGGUGGACCGCCUGGGGCUCCAGCCAGCCCAGGGACUGCUGUUGGCGGUGGCCAGGAAAGUGCCAGCUUUUGCAGAUCCAAACUUGCAGGAGAGCACCAGACCUGCCAGGCAGCACGCUGCCAUCCCAGCAGGCGUGCAGGAUAAGCAAUCCUGGUCCGGGGAUGGCUUCCCACUUCAUGGUGCUUUCCCUCAGCCCUGAGCCCCACAGCCAUCUCCACAGGAAGAGGCAGGGCUCACCAGGCCCAUGGGGUGCUGGGGACGGAUCUCAAGGGGCAGUGGCACCACAAAAUGCUUGGGCAGGAGGCAGGGGCAGGGAGGAACAUGAAAGAGCCAGGAGUGCAGAUCUAACAGCUGCUGAGGGUUUGCUGGCCUCUGGACUGACUUCAGUCAUCACUAGGUGUAAAAGGUACGUUCCCACUUCUUCCCAGGUCAGCAGCAAAGGAAUAAAGCCAUGCUGUGUGACAACUGUCUCUCUGGUGCUCAAUAGCAGUGUCCCCAUGGUGGCCUAGGGACUUGGGAGACCUCCCUUGGCUGGGUCAACUGUGCUCAUGGUGACCCUGCAGGCAAGCACAGCACCUGAAGCCACCCAGUCACAAGAGCCCUUGAAAGGUGAGAAGGCAGCUCAGCCCUGCCACCACUCAUCCUUACGCCUGCAAGCAAAACCCAUUGUCCAUGUGUUCUCCAUUCCACUGCCAGUCCUCUGAAUCACUGUGUUCUCCCUGCUUUCUUGUACCUAGCUUGCAUAAUGUUUCUUAAAAUGUGAAGAAAAAAAAAUAAAAUACUGCCUACA